CUAGCAUUUUCAUAGGUUCUCCUCCAGGAAGUGGGGUUAGCAUUUGGUAGCUGGUGCUAAAAGAAAAAUCUUUGAUUACAUUCUUGACCCGGUAUUGUACUAGGGACAACUGUCAUUCAGCCUCUAGUC
ensembl:snoRNA